CCCCCAGCUACUAUCCACUGUACCCGCCCUCGGAGGAGCUCAACGUGGACUACGAGAGCUUCGCGUGCUUUGCCUGGCUGCCUGCCACCCCCCAUGUCCUCGUCGUGCCCUCAGAGCUGCGCUACUUCGUUAAGGACGUGCUGGGCUGCGUCUGCCUCAACCCCGGGCGGCUGACGAAGGGCCGGGUGGGUGGCACCUACGGGCGCCUCCUGCUGCGGCCCCGCAACCCCGAGCGCCACCAUCCCUGCGUCUCGGCCCAAAUCAUCAAAAUCUGACCCC